AUACGGAGGGUGCGAACGUUAAUCGGAAUUACUGGGCGUAAAGCGCGCGUAGGCGGUUCGACAAGUGGGGUGUGAAAGCCCAGGGCUUAACCUUGGAACUGCAUUCCAAACUGUCGGACUAGAGUAUGGUAGAGGGAGGUAGAAUUUCCUGUGUAGCGGUGAAAUGCGUAGAUAUAGGAAGGAAUACCGGUGGCGAAGGCGGCCUCCUGGACCAAUACUGACGCUGAGGUGCGAAAGCAUGGGGAGCAAACAGGAUUAGAGACCCGUGUAGUCC
rnacentral:rRNA from 1 species